CAGUAGCCGCGGGAAUACGUAGGGUGCAAGCGUUAAUCGGAAUUACUGGGCGUAAAGCGUGCUCAGGCGGUUUUGUAAGACAGAGGUGAAAUCCCCGGGCUCAACCUGGGAACUGCCUUUGUGACUGCAAGGCUAGAGUACGGCAGAGGGGGAUGGAAUUCCGCGUGUAGCAGUGAAAUGCGUAGAUAUGCGGAGGAACACCGAUGGCGAAGGCAAUCCCCUGGGCCUGUACUGACGCUGAGGUACGAAAGCAUGGGGAGCAAACAGGAUUAGAUACCCGGGUAGUCCCUGUCUCUUAUAC
rnacentral:rRNA from 1 species